AUCCACCUGUACUUUGUUUUAGGCCACCCAGACCUGUAACCAGCAUGAAUGACACCCUGUUCUCCCACUCAGUCCCCUCCUCAGGAAGUCCUUUUAUCACCAGGAGCUCGGGCGGUGCUUAUGGUGGAAGCGUCUAGAUGGAUAACAUGGCUUCUUCUACUCUAAAAUAUCCCUAUAACACUUUGAACUGUUCUGAUUCCUCCAGGGUGCAUGGUACCUAUUAACCCCAAAUACGAUCACUUCCCUUUUCUCCCAUUUUCAGUCUUUUUGGAAUGUCCCCUGUGAACCACAGACACGUUGUUGAGAGUUUGCAGUUCUUCCUGUCACCAGGGAGAUUGGCCCCUGGUGUCUGUGAAGGGUGCUGUUCAAUAAAGCUGUGUACACUGAACUUC